rnacentral:lncRNA from 1 species
CUCCUCCUUUCCCAAUCCCCAAGCUUAAACUGGAGGGGCUGUGCUUGGAGCCAGAUUCAUUAGGGCUGUGCCUUGCCUAUCCCUGUGAGGGCCCAGCCCAUCAGCCUCCUCCUCACUGUUUGCAGGUGCUCUCUACAGAGCACUGAGCAGCCCACCCUUUCACCAGGCUCACACCUGCACCCCUGUUCUCCACCAGCUGCCUCACUGCAGCCCCUGAGACAGCCAGGCCUUUCUAGGGCCCACACCUGGGCGUCUCCGCCGAGACCGACUUUCACGCCCACCUGGUCUUCCCCAAGACCCAGAGCCUUCAGAGGUUUCAUCAGAAUUCCCUCAGGAUGUGGGUUAUGAGUUGUCAUCCAAGCCCAGCAGGGGCCAGAGUGUAGGUGGGCCCAGAGGCUUCUGAGCUGGAGGUGAAAGGGGCUUGAAGGCCUCUGAGCGGAGCCGGGAACCCGCCCUCUGGGGACCUGGGAGCCGGCUCAGGUUCCAACACGAGGUCCCAGGCGCUCUCUUCUUGCUUCAGGGGCCUCCUGAAGAGAGAAGGGAGGCUGACCGUAGCUGCGACACCCCCUCAGUGCUGAACAGCAGGCGGGAAGCCCCUCUUGCACCGACUAGACCAGAACGGCAGACAUUUUCCCGACAAGGAAGGGGAGCAAGAUUGAUGUCACAUCAUUCCUGGGCCACACUCAAUUGCACGUGUGUCUUCUCUGUGAGCUGGGGCUAACACCUGAAGUCUUGCAGUCCACACACAACCCUCAUGCUUUGGCUGUGUUCCCAGGUACAGUAUAUACUUUUUGAAGUUUUGAGUGAUCAACUUCACAUUAAUCUAUUCUCCCUCACUCUAUUCUAAUCCUUUUGGCAAGAACCUGUUCCAAGAUAUUCUCCCCUUUUUUGGCCUAUUCAGCUUGAAACAGAAUGAUCAGAGUAUCACUUCCAGUUGAAGCACACUGCUG